CCGAGUUAUACAACUCAUCAACCCUGUGAACAUACCUAAAACGUUGCUUCGGCGGGAACAGACGGCCCUGUAACAACGGGCCGCCCCCGCCAGAGGACCCCUAACCCUGUUUUUAUAAUGUUUUUCUGAGUAAACAAGCAAAUAAAUUA
rnacentral:misc_RNA from 1 species